GACGGAGGGUGCUAGCGUUGUUCGGAAUGACUGGGCGUAAAGGGCGCGUAGGCGGCUCGUGAAGUCGGGUGUGAAAGCCCGGGGCUCAACCCCGGAACUGCCUUUGAAACUAGAUUGCUAGAAUCCUGGAGAGGUUAGUGGAAUUCCGAGUGUAGAGGUGAAAUUCGUAGAUAUUCGGAAGAACACCAGUGGCGAAGGCGACUAACUGGACAGGUAUUGACGCUGAGGUGCGAAAGCGUGGGGAGCAAACAGG
rnacentral:rRNA from 1 species